rnacentral:rRNA from 1 species
GAUGAACGCUGGCGGCGUGCUUAACACAUGCAAGUCGAACGGGAUCCAUCGGGCUUUGCUUGGUGGUGAGAGUGGCGAACGGGUGAGUAAUGCGUGACCGACCUGCCCCAUGCACCGGAAUAGCUCCUGGAAACGGGUGGUAAUGCCGGAUGUUCCAGUUGAUCGCAUGGUCUUCUGGGAAAGCUUUCGCGGUAUGGGAUGGGGUCGCGUCCUAUCAGCUUGACGGCGGGGUAACGGCCCACCGUGGCUUCGACGGGUAGCCGGCCUGAGAGGGCGACCGGCCACAUUGGGACUGAGAUACGGCCCAGACUCCUACGGGAGGCAGCAGUGGGGAAUAUUGCACAAUGGGCGCAAGCCUGAUGCAGCGACGCCGCGUGAGGGAUGGAGGCCUUCGGGUUGUAAACCUCUUUUAUCGGGGAGCAAGCGUGAGUGAG